rnacentral:lncRNA from 1 species
GCCAUUGUGUUUCUGUACGUUUUCCCAUUAACCGAGUGACUAAGGGGGACCCCUGCACGUGACCCCUGAACAUACUGUAUCACCCCUUCUAGACCGCUGCCUUCAGCUCCCGCACCACAUGUGACCACGCAGAAAGCGAGGUCCUCCUCCACUGCUGGGAAAAAGGUUAAAAGAGACUGUCUUUCAUCAGCUCAUCAUUCUCAUCUGGCGCUGCAUAAUUUAUGAGCUUGUUACUGUAAUCAAAAAUUCCACUUUAUUUUAUUUAUCUUUUCCCGCUAUUUGGAUGGGGCGUGGUGCGGAUGGGAGACGCACAGUGGAGGCAGCGCCGGUUCCCGUGAGCCUGAGCCUUUUCAUGUGAAAUGAGAUACUGCUGUGAUGUCCCUCGGCCUCGUACCUGGGUGCUCGAUGAUCACCUUCAUCAUCCUCGGUGGCGGUCGCAGCACCAUCUACAGUGCUUGAAGGCUGAAUUGCAAAUAGUGACACUUAGCCACGCUGAGCUGUGGAGUGGAACUAUGCUUCCAAGCCACAGGGUGUCCUUCUUAGCCUCGCUGGUGGGAUCCUGGGCUUCUCUGAUGAUGGGGUGCAACUGCGGCUUCUGGGGAGUGUCUGGAAUGAGUGCCAUCUUCCUGCGGUGCUCCGCAGAGGCCUGGUGACGGGAAGAGAGGAGACGUUUCCUUGUUUGGAGCCAGCCAUUGGUUGACACGGGAGGACAUGGGGAGAGAGGGAGGAGGGUGAUGGGAAUGGCUUCCUCUCUCCUCCACCGCCCAGCAGCUCUGGCAUAUCACCAGCCUUAUGGUGGUAAUUGAUUCUCUCUGUGCCAUUAGUCUAUGAGACAAAGAUGCUCCAAAGAGAGGGAGGCGCUGUCACUUACAGGCUGGCACGGCGCCCGGCCACGCGCUCUCAGCGCGCGGCUAGAUGCAUGCGAAGACACACGUCCCUUUGCAGGCGCGCGCGCAGUUAGAUUCCUCGCACAGAUGCAAAGUAGCGCUGGUAUGAUGUCAGCUGUCAAAGUCUGCCCAAGCAGGAGCAUUGCUCAUUUGCAAAUGAGCCACACAGCACAAACAUAGUUAACGCACAACUGUACACGCGCAAUAAAAUCGAAGCGAAUACGAGAGACGUGUGAUUA